UCCUCUAACUGCUCCCCUUGUGCAGCAGCAACUCGUCUGCCCGACCUCGCCGUCACGACCCAACCGCCUCGCCGUCGCGACUCGCAACCCAACCGCCUCGCCGUCGCGGCUUCCCCGUUCGCCCAGCAGAGCCCGGAGCCCAGCCCGCCAAGUCCAGCCUCGCCCCUGCCGUCAGUGUCGUGCGCCCGGCCGCCCGCCUAGUCCAGCCGCGCCCCUGCGCUGCGCGCGGCUGUGCCCCUGUCCUGCGCUCCGGUGAUCCCGCCGUCCGACCUCCACUUCUCGCAGGCCCGGCCGCCUACCAGAAAAGCCCCACUACGGCGGCAAACAAGUUACAGAGUCCUAAGGAAGCAGAAUCGGAAACAUGACUGCUUUCGAUGCAAGGUGGGGAUAAUGCAGUUGGCAGUACUGAACAGGCCAGGAACAGAACAGGCUUCAGGUGAAGACCCUUGUUCGGUGUGGACUUGGCAGCGACGAUGCUCUGCGCCAUUCUCCCUCUUGGGGGCGUUAUCAUGGAGCUUUGGUGUGCUAGGUCAUAGCAAUGGGGGUGGUUAGUUCUGCCGGUGCUUAUUGCUGAUAGCGUAGACACGUGCGUUCUACGAGUGUUGAAUAUCUUAGGAUCAGCUUUGUAAUAUGGCUACCUCAUCAUCUUAUAUCAUUCGGACGUGUACUUCUUCGAAUGUCACUUUAUAUAUAAAGCGAGACGAAAGCUUGUUUCGAAA